rnacentral:rRNA from 1 species
CCUACGGGAGGCUGCAGUGAGGAAUAUUGGUCAAUGGACGAGAGUCUGAACCAGCCAAGUAGCGUGAAGGAUGACUGCCCUAUGGGUUGUAAACUUCUUUUAUAUGGGAAUAACAUGUUCCACGUGUGGGAUUUUGUAUGUCCCAUAUGAAUAAGGAUGGGCUAACUCCGUGCCAGCAGCCGCGGUAAUACGGAGGAUCCGAGCGUUAUCCGGAUUUAUUGGGUGUAAAGGGAGCGUAGGUGGAUUGUUAAGUCAGUUGUGAAAGUUUGCGGCUCAACCGUAAGAUUGCAGUUGAAACUGGCAGUCUUGAGUACAGUAGAGGUGAGCGGAAUUCGUGGUGUAGCGGUGAAAUGCGUAGAUAUAACGAAGAACUCCGAUUGCGAAGGCGGAUCACUGGACUGCAACUGACACUGAGGCGCGAAAGUGUGGGUAUCAAACAGGAUUAGAUACCCGUGUAGUC